UUUGUACCGGUUAUGGCAUAUGAGUGGAAGACAGAAACACCAGUUCUUACUUCACCUUCCACCAUGUGUAUUCAGGAGAUUGAACUCAUGUCAUCAGGCUUGACACUUUAACUUUCAAAGCCAUCUCACUGGUCCAAUGCUCCUGUAAAAACAGUUGACUUCAAGCACUGUUAUGACAUGCACGAAUUUCAACAACAGAAUGGACAGUACUAAAGUGAUUUCAUGUGGACAUCCAUCUGCUUGUUUUGAGUCUAGACAACAUGUUCUCAUUCUUCUGGGAAACCUAGUGAAGAUCUGUGGACAACUGUUCCUUCAAAGUUCUUAAUUGUGUCUUAGGAUUACUAUUGCUGCAAUAAAAUACCAUGAGGAGGAAAGGGUUUAUUUGGCUUACACUUCCAUAUCACUCUUCAUUACUGAAAGAAGUCAGGACAAGAACUCAACAGGGCACCAUCAUUUAUAAAGUCAUCUCAAUUUGAUCAACAGUCUUCUUAAAAGGCUCCAACAGUGCAUGACAAAUACAGAGGUGGAUGCUUGCAGCCUACCAUUGGAAUAAGCACAGGAUCUCCGAUGAAGGAGCUAGAGAAGGGACCCAAGGAACUGAAGGGGUUUGCAGCCCCCCGGAGGAACAACAAUAUGAACUAACCAGUAUCCCCAGAGCUCCCAGGUACUAAACCACCAAUCAAAG
rnacentral:lncRNA from 1 species